UAAAAAUAGUGGAAUAUCAAAAGACAUCUUAAGGUCUUUAAUUAAAUAUUAUUUGAAGGUUUCAAAGGGCCAUAAUAGAUAAAAUAGAACAACUUUAAGAAUAUUAAUAUAUGCAAUGAACCUCCAUUAACCAAUCCUUUCUUUGAACACAUGAACUCUCCAUUUACUCAAUGUAAUAACCGAUUAUCACUAAUAUUUAAACAUGUAAUUAACUAAAUAUUUAUAAUAUUUUAAUCUACCAUUGGAGGCCUUGCUAUUCAUGGGUCCUUUGAUGAUGAAGUUAUACCUUCGGCCUAAGGAGUUGACUCAUGCAAAUGACCAAGGGAAGUCAUUUUUCCCUAGAAGCUGCUCUUACUUGUUUUGCCGUUUUACCGACUUAUAAAAGGUGUCAUUGAUGAAGUUAACUUUUGUGAUUGAACAAAGUUCUGGUUUCGAGGAACAAGAAAAUUUGAGCCUUCCCUAAAGACAUCUAAGAACCAGAAAAAGCUGAGGAUGAAUCAUGAUCAUUCAGGGAACAUUUGACAGCAGUUAUUCUUACCACAAACUGAAGAGGGAAAAUGCCCCUUUUGUCGAGCUAGGCCUGGAAGAAUUACUCAAAGAUGAGACUCAAUUGGUGGCUUACCUUCAAUGUUGGCUCUGCAAAUUUUUGCCUCCCAACAAGAAGCUAAGCUGCUGAUUGUGUUCAUGCUAGUGCCUUUAAAGUUGCAAAAUCGAUGACUUAUGGAUAGAGUUUCUUUGGUGGUUCUAGUCCUUUACGGCCUCAGGGAUAUCCCCAUCUCCUCAAAUUAGGGGCCUACAAUAUGCUACUUUACUUUUUUUAUCACUCUUUUAUAUAUCUAUUUUCACCUAUAUUUGGAUCUAGCUUUCACGCUUACUAGGCAGAAGGCGUCAUGUAUUUUCCUAGCUAUCUAAUAAAAGUUUGAAGAAGGUGAAAGGGCUGGUCCAACAGUUUAUAGAAGUCUUCUUGGUAGUUUGUUGUAUUUGUCAUAACCCGAUCUCAUGUUUGCGGAAAGUUUUAGUCGAGGUUUAUGAAAGCUCCAAGUCAAUUUCAUCUUGGUGUUGCUAAAUGAACAUUAAGAUAUUUCAAAGGACUUCCUUAUUAUGGUAUUUGGUUUAAAAGGGAAGAUCAAUGGCAAAUAAUGGGUUAUUCAGAUGGUGAUUGAGCAGGAAGCUUUGAUGAUGUGAAAAAAACUUUUGGAUAUGCUUUUACACUUUGUCCAGGCACGUUCUGAUGGAAUUCAAAGACUCAAGAGAUGGAGACUUAAUCUUCUGCAAAAGCAGAAUACAUCGCCGAUGCUGGUACAACUUAUUAGGCUCAAUGGUUAAGAAUGAUUCUACAUGAUCUGGAGCAAAAUGACAUUAGAGCUACUGUCAUUAAGGUUGAAAACAAGUCAGCAAUAUCUAUGGCCAAAAAUCAAGUGCAACAUGGCUAUAGCAAGCAUUUAAAUGUGAAGUUUCAUGCUAUCAUGCAAGUAGAAAAGGAUGGAGAAGUACAACUUGCUCAUUGCAGCUCAGAUCAACAGAUUGCGUAAAUCAUGACCAAGUCUCUUUCUAAGGGGAAAUUUGAAGUUCUAAGAAGUUCUAAGGGCUAAGUUGGGAGUUUCCAAGAAAAAUCUCAAGGAGGAUGUUUGAAAAUAAGAUAUUUCUAGAUGAUUUUUGUAUACUAGUUCUUUUUUAAAACAUUAUGUUAAGUGUGUAAAGGAAAGGUAGUCCUUUUUUUUAAGGAAUAUGUUUUGUAAGAGAGUCAAUAGUGGUUAGAUAUGAUGGUCCUCAACAAACUUUGUAAAAGUUUAUGUAGAUAUGUAUUUAUGCAUUUUGAAAUAUGAACAUUAAAUAAAUUACAUGUGUUGAA